rnacentral:rRNA from 1 species
AACGAACGUUGGCGGCGUGGAUUAGGCAUGCAAGUCGAGCGAGAAGGUUCCCUUCGGGGGACUGGACAGCGGCGAACGGGGUAGUAAGACGUCGGAACGUGCCCUCGGGACCGGGAUAGCCACGGGAAACUGUGGGUAAUACCGGAUGACCUCUCCGGAGCAAAUGGUGAGAUUCCGCCCGAGGAGCGGCCGACUUGGUACCAGGUAGUUGGUGGGGUAACGGCCCACCAAGCCGGCGACGCCUAGGGGGUGUGAGAGCAUGGCCCCCACCACCGGGACUGAGACACGGCCCGGACACCUACGGGUGGCUGCAGUCGAGAAUCUUCGGCAAUGGACGCAAGUCCGACCGAGCGACGCCGCGUGCGGGACGACGGCCUUCGGGUUGUAAACCGCUGUCAGGGGGGAUG